UACAGAGGUGGCAAGCGUUGUUCGGAAUUACUGGGCGUAAAGGGCUCGUAGGCGGCCAACUAAGUCGGAUGUGAAAUCCCCAGGCUUAACCUGGGAACUGCAUCCGAUACUGGAUGGCUUGAAUCCGGGAGAGGGAUGCAGAAUUCCAGGUGUAGCGGUGAAAUGCGCAGAUAUCAGGAGGAACACCGGUGGCGAAGGCGGGUCUCUGGGCCGAUACUGACGCUGAGACUCGAAAGCAUGGGGAGCAAACAGG
rnacentral:rRNA from 1 species